AGCAGUAGCCGCGGGAAAACAGAGGGUGCGAGCGUUAAUCGGAUUUACUGGGCGUAAAGCGUGCGUAGGCGGCUUCUUAAGUCGGAUGUGAAAUCCCUGAGCUUAACUUAGGAAUUGCAUUCGAUACUGGGAAGCUAGAGUAUGGGAGAGGAUGGUAGAAUUCCAGGUGUAGCGGUGAAAUGCGUAGAGAUCUGGAGGAAUACCGAUGGCGAAGGCAGCCAUCUGGCCUAAUACUGACGCUGAGGUACGAAAGCAUGGGGAGCAAACAGGAUUAGAUACCCGUGUAGUCCCUGUCUCUUAUAC
rnacentral:rRNA from 1 species